rnacentral:rRNA from 1 species
UACAGAGGGUGCGAGCGUUAAUCGGAAUUACUGGGCGUAAAGCGCACGUAGUCGGCUUGCAAGUCGGUUGUGAAAUCCCCGGGCUCAACCUGGGAACUGCAUCCGAGACUGCAUUGCUAGAGUAUGGGAGAGGGAAGCGGAAUUUCUGGUGUAGCAGUGAAAUGCGUAGAUAGCAAGAAGGAACAUCCAGUGGCGAAGGCGGCUUCCUGG